rnacentral:snoRNA from 1 species
AAGCUCAUGAUGACCUACUCGGAUUCCCCUUCAAGACAUAUUUGAGUGAUGCACAAACCGAGUCACUGAGGCA